rnacentral:rRNA from 1 species
AGGCGGAGCAAAACACAAAACACAGUCUCAGUUCAGAUUGUAGGCUGAAACUCGCCUAUAUGAAGUCGGAAUUGCUAGUAAUCGCGGAUCAGCAUGCCGCGGUGAAUACGUUCCCGGGCCUUGUACACACCGCCCGUCACACCAUGAGAGUCGAUAACACCCGAAGCCUGUAGUCUAACAGCAAUGAGGACGCAGUCGAAGGUGGGAUUGAUAAUUAGGGUGAAGUCGUAACAAGGUAUC